CCAAAAUGAGAGUUUGAUCCUGGCUCAGGACGAACGCUGGCGGCAUGCCUAAUACAUGCAAGUCGAACGAUGAAGCACUCUGCUUGCAGAGUGCGG
rnacentral:rRNA from 1 species